GUCUGUAAUAUAGAAGUCUGAAAUCAAGGUGUCAGCAGCACCAUGCUCUCUUGAAAUCUUUAGAAGAGGAUCCUUCCUUGCCUCUUCCUAGCUUCUGGUGGUCCGCAGGCAAUCUUUGGUGUUCCUUGGUCUCACAUCGAGGUCACGCUGAUGAAAAAGGAACUACAGUACUGUUAUGUCAGUAACAUACAUCACAGUCGUACGUCUCCAGGCUUCUUAUCUUCCUUUGAACCUGACCUGGCUACUGUUUGGUGGAUUAUAGAGGAAAAGCUGUAAUGGGAAAGUAGGUUGGGUGAAGGGAUGAGAAAAAGGAAAGCAUCGUGGAGCACAUUAGCAGGCUUUCUCCAUGAAGAAGCAGGAUGAGUACCUUCUCACUGCCAAAGUAGUUGGAGGGACAUCAAACACCAGUGAUGGGAACACUGAACCUCACAUAAGAAGCACAUGAAGAACAGCAGUGAAACCAAGGAUUCUAGCAAGGCCAGCUAUUAGCAAAGCAGUAAGCAGGAACUGGACUAGAUACCAAAUGAUGGGGAAACAGACUCAUAGACCUAAGAACAUAGGAAGAAGAGAUGUAACAUCAACAGAAAGGCAAAAGGGGCAAUGCAGCAUCUCUGCCUUCUUCUGGGUAUUCCUCUUAAAUGGCUUGACAAUAACCACCAACCAGCACUGCCAUACAUGUGUCCUGUACCUAUCAGAGGCACUAGGGCAGUUUUGGAACAGAGAGCCCAUAGAAAGGCUACUGCUUAGAGAUAGCCAUUUUCUUCUUGGAGCUGGACCAGUGAAUUAGACGCAUGGAGGAGAGCUGGAAAAUCCCUUUUUGGAAGAGCUACACAAAACCAAAAUUUGGAAUUCGUAGCUAAUAACCAUAAAAAUUAAGAAAUGACUGUUGGAAGAGCACUGGAAAUCACCUGAUUAAGUUAAGAAAAACUAACUAGCUCAUGAGAAAAUUAUUUUCAGGCCAGCUGUAGCCUGUACCCUUUUGAAAAUCCCCUGACUAGUGAGUUCAUUUUUGUUGGAAUAUAGAAUUUUUCUUUUCUAAGCAGAUGUAAACUUGUCUUUCUGUGGUUGGCUUUGGAGCCCACAAGAUAAUUAAAUGGCAGUGCUAACUGAAAGCCUGGGCUGUGCUUAUAGGUUCAAGAGGCAGGUAGAAGACACUGGGUUGGGGAAGUAGGGCUAUGGAACUGUGGCUCUGGCUAAGAUUACUAAUGUCUGUGAGCGCUGGAAGAAGGGAAAUAGAAAUGAAAAAACAUGAAUAUGGUUGAUGGGCCAGACUGAGUGUUGAGGUCCUAUGAUGUAUCAAAGAAUGGCUUACAUGAAAGUUAUAAGGUGUGGAUGGAAAAGGUCAGUGUGGAAGAGAACAGAAUUACUAGCUUUAAAGCUCAGAGACAUCUGCUUUUCAGGAAAAAAAAAUACAAAAGUCUAUGAGUGAAGGAAGGAGACUAAGAGAAAGAAAGGUGAGGAAAAGAGGAAGAGAAUAAAAAGGAACAGAAAUGAGAAAAAUAUGACACAAGAAAAAAAGAAAAAUUAGGAGGAAGGAAAGAAGAAAGGAAGGCAGAGAGGGAGGAAAGGAAGGAAGGAGACAGGGAGGAGAAACAGAAAAAGAGAGAAUGAAAGAAGUGGAAAUCAAGAAAGAAACAACAUAAGAUUCUACAGAGAGGACUCAUUAUAGGCAAAAUAAGUAAAAGAAAUUUCUUUUGGCAUUGUCCUAUCUCCCUUGCAUUCUCAUCUACUAAGCCUUUUCUUCCCUGUGGGCAAUAUUAUUGGCAUGAGUAAACUCUCACCUUAAUAUUCCUAAUAACCAUAAGUUUGUCCUCUACUCCCUAAAACUACUGCCGUGUGUGCCAUGCUCCAAAGUAAUCUCUUAUUCUCACUUCGUAACCUUUCAUCUCAGCUGUGUGUCAGUUAAGAAGAAUUUCAUCAAACUAAGCCUCUUGGAUUUUAAAAGAAUGCUCUUGCCCAGUUAUAUCUUUAGUUGGCAUCAUUUCAGGUAUGAAAAGGCUCUGCUCUAUGUGCCCUUAUCAAUCCUGAAAGAGCUAUCUCCCCAAGCAAAAUGAGAAGGACAAUCAUAACUGGCUCAAGGCUAGUCCAAUCUGGCUCUGUCCUUAGAUCCAAAAAGUUGAAGUUGUAAGUGACCCUAGAAAUGAUCUAUUUCACACUUAUUGUCCAGACAAUGAAACUCCAGUGGAGAGUGGAUAGGACCCUUCUAGGGUCGCAUGAUUGCUAGUGGCAAAGCCAGGUCUGAAUCAUAUCACUGCUUAUGGAGAACUUGUUGCCCUCACCAUUGUCCUCAAAUUUCUCCUGUUGACAGCAGGAUCCCUCAGAGAAAAGAUAGCUCCAGCCAAAGAACUCAGUGUAGCCCCAUGAACUCUCCAAAUAAUCAUAAACACAGCUAUAGUAGACAAGAAAGGCUAUCUUCUCAUGACCCUUUCUGUGGUUAAAAUCCUGAAAAACUGGGCACUACGGCUAUAUUCCAAACAUUCUUGCAAAUAGUAUUUCCAGACACAGACAAUGAUUCUCAGAGAUUCUCACCAUAGACGGUGAGGCAGGCCGUUCCUGAGAUCUUCCCAAAACCAAAGGUAUUGAAGAGACACAUGUAAC
rnacentral:lncRNA from 10 species